CGGCAUUACACCAAGUAUAAACAUUUUUCACUAGAUGAAUGAUGUUUUUAUACAUUUAUAUUGUCCUCCUUUUAGAGAUGCCAGCAGUUCUGGGAGUGACUUUGGAUCAAAGUCCAAAGGUUUUGAUUAAGGGAAAGGGCAAAACUGUGUAUCUGCCCUGCAAAGUGACUGGUCUGGGCUCUUCAGACUAUAUUCAUUGGUACCAAAUGAAAGACGGUGAAGCCCCAUCGAGGCUACUCUAUAUCAGUCAAGGUGGUAGUGUUGCUCGUGAUACCUCUGAAGCAAAUGACUUUACAGUGGACAAAACAAAGCUUUAUGAUCUAAAACUGAGCAACACUCAGGAGAAUCAUGCUGCUGUUUACUUCUGCGCCUACUGGGACACAAGCAGCGGCCACAGUGACAAGAUUUACUCACAUCCUGUACAUAAACUGGCAAAUGUUGAAUGCAAACAUAUACUUGCACUGUCAUUUCCUGUUUAAGUUCUUAAUUUGACUUUAGAUAAUGAUAUUUUUUUUUUUUAAUUAAUUAAUUAAAAAGAUAAUUCAAAAGAUAAAAUUUGUUAAUGUUUGUCUAGGGAUUAUGGGCAUUAAUGGGUUUGUGAUGUUCAGUUUGAUGAAGUGCUUGAAAUAUUACUUUUCCUUCUCAGGGUUAUUAUAGUUAGCUUAAAAACUAAAAACAUAAAAAUAUUUAUACAUUUUUGUUCCUUAAAAAACUUGAAAAACACAGACUUACUUUAUUUGAGCCAGUUGCCAAGGCAACAUUUGUCACUUUCAUUUAGUUUCAUUUAAUGUAAUAAAAUAACAAACACUAAAGCUGAAAUAAGUCUGUCAUAACUUAAAUAUAUUGGGUUUCUCCUUCACAUAUGUAUGUGUAUAUAUGUGUGCAUGUGUGCAUAUGUGUAUGCAUGUAUGUAUAUAUGUGUGUAUGUGUAUAGUAGAAACUUAAUUUCCUGUAAAGCUGCUUUGCAACAAUUGUAUCGUAAAAAGCGCUAUACAAAUAAACUUGAAUUGAAUUGAAUUGAAAAAUACAAAUUAAUAAAAACCUAUAAAGACAAUCAAACUGACAGAAACAACAAAAUGAAUAAGGUACAUUUAAAAUGAAAUCUUAUAAAAAUGAUAAUAAUAUAACACUGGUCCUUGUGUGGUGAAAAUAAAUUCUGGUAGCAGCAGGGUGCUGACUUUAAGCUUUUUCACUUGAGUUGUAUAUAUAUCAAACAAUCUGAAAGUUACAAAAGCUGAUAAAAUACAAAAGAUGGAUUACUAAACAAAACUGAACAAAUGCAUGAGUAUCAUUUAAAACAGAGCACAAAAGACUUUUCAAUACACAUUGUGAAUUUAAUGACAUCCCAAAUUAUAUCACAGUAUCAUUAUUAAAUGUUUUUAACUGAAUUUUACUCAAAACAACUUCACAGAUUUGAAUCCAUACCAUUUUAGCAAAGAAAAAAGAAGAAGGGUGCUAUUGAGGAAGAGGCAGCUUAUAACCCAAAGCUUAGCCGAAUUGUUGUUUUAAAUUGCACGUGUUAAAUGAAUGUCGAUUCCCAUCAUCACCCAUCAUUUAUACAGACUGUUUCAGGCCUAGUUUGUGUGAUGACUACGAGAUAUGACCAAAGAGGAAACCACAAGGCCAUUAUCAUUACCUUCUGAUUGGCUGAUGCCGUUCAUAAUUCUUCAGACUCCUGAACGACAGACGCAGACAUGGCACUGUCUGGAAUUAUAACAUUUGGGUUGUUUGUAGCCUUAAUAGAUUGUUUAAAUGGACAAAUUACGUACCCUGAUAAUUACGAUCCUGGGAUAAUUAAGGCAAGUGGUAGAGCUGCUCGAAUCCAAUGCAAAGUGGAGUCAUCAACCCUUCAGUCCAGCGUUAUCCACUGCUACAGAGCUCCACCAAAGGGAGCUCUCCAACGAUUAAUGUAUUUCGAAGCUGGUUCAAAGGCAACAAAAGACCCCGAUACCCCUCGUAGAAUUUCUGGGUCGGUGAGUGGUGAUAUAGUGGCACUGACCAUUUCAAGACUGGAGUACAGCGACGCUGGCUCGUAUUACUGCGCGUUCUGGAGUGGAGACAACACAGUGUUAACUGCGAGAGGAAAUCAUGGAAAAACCUGCUUUCAGCAUCAAAGCGCUUUUAUUUGGAACAGCAGCAAGGAGGAGACAUUAGACAUAUUUUGAUUGCGAUGUUGCUUUUUGUUGUCAAGAUUUACAGUAAUUAAAAAAUUUGGUUAAAUAUUCCAAAUGUUAUCUUCUCAGAAGAAAGAACCACAAUGUUCCACAAUGUACAAUGUUUGCUAGGCUAUUUUGACGGUUAACAAUAAUAAAACCGUGUCUC